rnacentral:piRNA from 1 species
UAGAGACAGCGCUCAAGGCUUACAUGG